GAUAAGUGCUAAAUAAUCCCCAGCUGUAAAAUUCUAAGAAUAAUUAAAACUUCCUUUCUUAACAUUCUUAGUGAACAACUUACAGGUUAAAAAACAAACCCAAAGAGAUUAUUUCCUGCAAAGAGCCUUUAGUAUGGUAGCACCUACUUCUAGAAGGCCUGUCAUAAACUGUCGUCUAGUGAAAGUGAUGAAGAAGAGUGGCUGGGAGUCAAUCUUAUCAGGAGCUGGAACAGGUGAAGCCCUCACCAGUGAAAAAUCUUGACAGAUGCAGCUACUAAGAUUUCCUACUACAAAGAAUCAGUUAGAAAAGCAGACUCCCUAUGGUGGCGACCAGUAUCUUCAAACUCAUACCAGAGUAAAGCCUUAUCCAUUUGGAGUUCUUUCUGAUGCAUUAUGUGAGAAAAACAAGCAAACAAAUGAACACUUAUUUGUAUUGGAAUUGCACUAAAUUUAUACAUGAAACUGAAAAAAACUGAUAUCUUUAUGAAGCUGCAUAAUCCUAUCCAAGGACAGACGUCUCCUUCCAUUUGCUUUUGCUUUACUAAUUUGAAUCUAUGUUAUUUGUUUUGGAUACAUCUGGAAUUGACUUUUUUGCAUGAUGUAAGAAAUAACAGUUCUUCCUGGAUCAGCCCUCUCCCGUCUGUCAUCUCCAACAGAUACAAAGCCAGCUUUAAGAAGACCAAACCUACAAAAAUCAUUCAUGCUUUCUGCCUCCAUGUUUUUCUUUCCAACCUAGUUCCUCCAGAAAAUGUAAAAGAGCAACCGAACCGUCAACUGGUACAAUGACUUCUACACGUCAGACCUCGGCCACGCCACAGUCAUCAGAUUAUUCUAUCACAGGGUCUCUCAACCGUGGAAUAUGGUCUCCAAGGGAAACAAGCCAGAGAGGGCUCAGGAGCACUGCUAUAAAGAGUAGGCAAAUGGAAAUCUUUCCCCAAAGGGCACACUGGGAUUGUUAGGCGAGGGCUGCUCAAUCCAUUAAAAGUUUAAACUCG
rnacentral:lncRNA from 1 species